CAUAUACUCCCUCCGUCCCAAAAUUCUUGUCUUAGUUUUGUCUAGAUACGGAUGUAUCUAAUACUAAAACAUAACUUGAAACAUCCGUAUUUAGACAAAUCUAAGACAAGAAUUUUGGGACGGAGGGAGUAUAAA
rfam:Triticum aestivum genome assembly, contig: Triticum_aestivum_CS42_TGACv1_scaffold_030419_1BL